AAUGAACGUUGGCGGCGUGGAUUAGGCAUGCAAGUCGAGCGAGAACCCCGCAAGGGGGGACAGCGGCAAACGGGGUAGUAAUGUGUCGGAACGUGCCCUGAGGUCGGGGAUAGCGGCGGGAAACUGCCGGUAAUACCCGAUGAUCUCGAGAGAGCAAAGGUGUGAUUCCGCCUUUGGAGCGGCCGACAUGGUAUUAGCUAGUUGGCGGGGUAACGGCCCACCAAGGCUGUGAUGCCUAGGGGAUGUGAGAGCAUGAUCCCCACCAUUGGGACUGAGACACUGCCCAGACACCUACGGGUGGCUGCAGUCGAGAAUCUUCGUCAAUGGGCGAAAGCCUGAACGAGCGACGCCGCGUGCGGGAUGAAGGCCUUUGGGUUGUAAACCGCUGUCGAGGGGGAUGAAGGCUGGAGGGUACUCCUUCCAGUUUGACAGAGCCCUGGAGGAAGCACGGGCUAAGUUCGUGCCAGCAGCCGCCGUAAGAC
rnacentral:rRNA from 1 species